CGGGGUAUAGCGCAGUCCGGUUAGCGCAUCUGCUUUGGGAGCAGAGGGUCGCAAGUUCGAAUCUUGCUACCCCGA
rnacentral:tRNA from 1 species